AGAAUGAACGUUGGCGGCGUGGAUUAGGCAUGCAAGUCGUACGGGCCGCAAGGCCAGUGGCGCAAGGGUGAGUAAGGCGACGGUAACCAACCCCAUGACUGGGUAUAGCCGCGGGAAACUGCGGGUAAUCCCCAGCGACGUCCGGGAGGGGCAUCCCCCCCGGACCAAAGCUCCGGCGUCGUGGGACGGGCUGUCGUGGUAUUAGCUUGUUGGCGGGGUAACGGCCCACCAAGGCCAUGAUGCCUACCGGGCGUGCGAGCGUGGCCCGGCACACUGGGACUGAGACACUGCCCAGACUCCUACGGGAGGCUGCAGUCGAGAAUCUUCGGCAAUGGGCGCAAGCCUGACCGAGCGACGCCGCGUGGAGGACGAAGGCCUUCGGGUUGUAACUCCUGUCGAGGGGAAGAAGGCCCUUAAAGCCUUGACUGAUCCUGGAGGAGCGACGGGCUAAGUUCGUGCUAGCAGCCGC
rnacentral:rRNA from 1 species